rnacentral:lncRNA from 1 species
AUGGGUGUUGGAAGUCCAAAGAUGCAUUAUGUCGUUCUUUCCUUUCAAGUCACUUCCCAUUUGAAAAAUGAACCUCAUUCUGCUCGGCCUUCAGUUGACAAAAGUAAAGACGAGAGAAGCCUGGGAGCUACUGAAGCUGAAAAGAAGGAUGUGAAAGAGCAGUACCUUAAGAAGGCCAAGAGAAGGGAGGAAAUAAUAGCCUUAUUGAGGAAACAACGGGCAGAGAGGAUUCUGAAAGAGUCCUUUUCAAAUAUGCACAAGUCGAAGAGCAAAAUUCAGGAAAGCUCUCACUUGUUUGAAACUAUAGACAGAAGAACCAGCCUACGAUCAGGAGAUGCAAGCCCACAGAAUAGAAGUUGACUUGGCAACUUGUGGGGCGGCCCAUUGCCAGAGACUGACUAGUUUCCUUGACUAGUUCCUUAACACAACAUGUACAUCACUUUUAGAAAUCUUGAUUAAACCACAAGAAGGAAAGAAUACGCACAGAAGGAG